UGGGGAAUAUUGCACAAUGGGCGCAAGCCUGAUGCAGCCAUGCCGCGUGUGUGAAGAAGGCCUUCGGGUUGUAAAGCACUUUCAGCGAGGAGGAAGGUGGUGAGCUUAAUACGCUCAUCAAUUGACGUUACUCGCAGAAGAAGCACCGGCUAACUCCGUGCCAGCAGCCGCGGUAAUACGGAGGGUGCAAGCGUUAAUCGGAAUUACUGGGCGUAAAGCGCACGCAGGCGGUUUGUUAAGUCAGAUGUGAAAUCCCCGGGCUCAACCUGGGAACUGCAUUUGAAACUGGCAAGCUAGAGUCUCGUAGAGGGGGGUAGAAUUCCAGGUGUAGCGGUGAAAUGCGUAGAGAUCUGGAGGAAUACCGGUGGCGAAGGCGGCCCCCUGGACGAAGACUGACGCUCAGGUGCGAAAGCGUGGGGCAGCAAACAGGAUUAGAUACCCUGGUAGUCCACGCUGUAAACGAUGUCGAUUUUGGAGGUUGUGCCCUUGAGGCGUGGCUUCCGGAGCUAACGCGUUAAAUCGACCGCCUGGGGAGUACGGCCGCAAGGUUAAAACUUAAAUGAAUUGACGGGGUC
rnacentral:rRNA from 1 species